GAAAUGCGAUAAGUAAUGUGAAUUGCAGAAUGCAGUGAAUCAUCGAAUCUGUGAACGCACCUUGCGCUCCUUGGUAUUCCUUGGAGCAUGCCUGUUUGAGUAUCAUGAAAUCUUCAAAGUAAAUCUUUUGUUAACUCAAUUGGUUUCUACUUUGGUAUUGGAGGUCUUUGCAGCUUCACACCUGCUCCUCUUUGUUCAUUAGCUGGAUCUCAGUGUUAUGCUUGGUUCCACUCGGCGUGAUAAGUUAUCUAUCGCUGAGGACACUGUAAAAGGUGGCCAAGGUAAAUGCAGAUGAACCGCUUCUAAUAGUCCAUUGACUUGGACAAUACUUUUAUGAUCUGAUCUCAAAUCAGGUAGGACUACCCGCUGAACUUAAGC
rnacentral:misc_RNA from 1 species